rnacentral:rRNA from 1 species
AUUGAACGCUGGCGGCAGGCCUAACACAUGCAAGUCGAGCGAGCGGCGGACGGGUGAGUAAUGUCUGGGAAACUGCCUGAUGGAGGGGGAUACCUACUGGAAACGGUAGCUAAUACCGCAUACCAUCAGAUGUGCCCCGAUGGGAUUAGCGAGUAGGUGGGGUAAUGGCUCACCUAGGCGACGAUCCCUAGCUGGUCUGAGCGGAUGACCCGCCACACUGGAACUGAGACACGGUCCAGACUCCUACGUGAGGCAGCAGUGGGGAAUAUUGCACAAUGGGCGCAAGCCUGAUGCAGCCAGGCCGCGUGUGUGAAUAAGGCCUUCGGGUUGUAAAGCACUUUCAGCGGGGAGGCGUUACCCGCAGAAGAAGCACCGGCUAACUCCGUGCCAGCAGCCGCGGUAAUAC